UAUAGGCAUUUUAAAUUAUUUGUUUAUAAUGGGUUUGAUUUUGAGGACAUCUACAUCAAUGCUGAACAAUUUUAUAACACAUUAAAAAGAAGAUGUGGUAUGAUUGCCAUUGAGACAACUGUCCACAAAAGACCAAAAUGACACAGACAUUAACAAAUAUAGGUCACUGUACAGCCUUCAACAAUGAGCAAAGCCCAUACUGCAUAGUCAACUAUAAAAGGUUCUGAUAAGACAAUGUAAAACAAUUCAAACAAGAAAACUAACGGCCUUAUUUAUGUAAAAAAAAUGAACGAAAAACAAAUAUGUAACACAUAAACAAACGACAACCACUGAAUUACAGGCUCCUGACUUGGGACAAGCAUGUACAUAAAUAAUGUGGCGGGGUUAAACAUGUUAGCAGGAUCCCAACCCUCCCCCUAACCUGGGACAGUGGUAUAACAGUACAACAUAAGAACGAACUAUAAAAAUCAGUUGAAAAAGGCUCAACUCAUCAGAUGCACAAAAAUACAAAUGGAUGUGAACAACAACUUGUAUUCAAUUGAAUUGUUUUGUACCUUAGGUAUCAAGUUAACAUACAGAAAAUGAUAGUAUAAGACAAAUUCAUAAGAAAUGUGACAAGGCAUAAUUUUGUUACACUUUUAAAAAAAAUCUUCGCCCUUAGGGAAAUAACCUUUUAAGGGUUGACAAUUUUGGAUAUUCACCUUUCCUAAGGGCCAUAAUUGUAUAUUGUUAACAUGAUGGUUAGCAUCACAAGUUUCCUUUGGGUAACUUGCUUGAGGAGUAAAGAGAGCUGUUUAAGUUGAAAGUGUCACCUUUGCUGCCUUGUGUGGUACAAUCUUCAGACAAUAUCCUGCAAACCGUGGCUGAACUGUUACUAUCUUUUUUUAGUAGAAUCCUUAGACAGUAAUCUUGUGGCAGAAUGAGUUGUAAACAAAUUGUUUUUAUUCCUGUAUUGAGUUUCAAAUUGGAUAUUUUUUAUUUAUAUUAUUUGUAUUCCAUUUGCAUUCAAUUA